rnacentral:lncRNA from 1 species
AGAGAGAGAUAUCAAGUGGAAGAUAAUAAUGUUCAAUAUCCACUGAGUUUCUUAUUGGCAGCUAAGCUUCCUCCUCUUCUUGAAGGUUCAGUGGCCACGGGUGGCUCCAUAUCUUCCUGUGUGGUCAAUGCUGGUGGAGGACCAACCUCUGAUUUUGAGGGCUAUUUCUCCUCCUUCACAGGGAAUGUGAUAGCAUGCUCCCCCAAAUGUAAGCAAGUAAAUUGGGCCACAGCUGCUCGAGGCAAUUAUAUCACUUGAUAUGGUGCUAGAGCUGCAAGAGAAAACACCCAACGUGACUGAAUUUCCUUGGGCCUUUCACAAUUCACCCCAGAACCCUGCCUCUGAGAAUACUCCUGGCCCUCCUCCACAAUUGGCCAUCUUCCCAGACUAGGUUCCACCAGCUGAAGGAUGUUAGCAUUGUGUGUCUUGGGAACAUAUGGCAGAUCCCAGGGGAACCAGCUGAGAUUCCUCUGCACACACCAUCAGUCAUCUGCCCCAGACCCCAUCAUCAGAGAGCUCAGACUUACAGGAUCUGUGUUCUUCAGCUGGGGAAGGACAUGGAAGUUCCCCUCUGAUUCAGGCAUAAUGACAAACAGGAAGGUCCUGAAAAGCUUCAGGUUGUCCAAGUCUUGGGACCUCAAAAAUAUUCUGGAUAGAGGUACAGCUGCAUUUUGAUGAUUGAGCAGAGGGUUCUGUGGAAUGUGGAGUGAAACAGGGAGUCAUGAUGGACAGGGCCUCUCUUUUAACUGGAACCUCCCAAGGUCCCUGCAUCAUGGGUUCCCAAAGAGUAGCCAGGCAGUUCCAUGCACCCGAUCAAAAGGGCAACCUGUGAGGCACAUAUGUGUGUAAGCGGCUCCCCACACUUGCUCUCCGGUCUCUGUACAAAAAAGCAUGGGCAACCCAGGUUUGGAUUGGCGGUGUUGGGGAGGGUUCCUCACAGGGCUUGGCUCUGAGGCCCCAACCAAUACUCUGUUCCUUUGGCGCCCAGAAUCAAAUGCACCACCAUAUGUUCUUUCUACGGGGUAAACCCCCAGAGUUGAGUCCUCUGCUGGAAAUCACACAGGGUGGAAAUUGGGGUUUGCCCAGCCAUCAUUUAUAACAGCUCCCCAUGAAACAGGAGCCCUCCUGACUAGCCCAAAGACCACUCCCUUCUUUCCUUGAAGCUACUCCUCACAAACAUCUGGCUGCAGGUUUCUAUACCUAGAGAUGGUGAGGAGGCUGACACCUCUAACAUCCUGUGCCCCUCAUCUGCCAAGAUGGCUGGUGGGCUUGACUAACUUCCUGACAAUAUUGGAACUCCAGGAGGACUAGAAGGUUUGUCUGCAUUGAUUCCUAAAUAAUAGGCCAAAUGAUGGCCCAUGGUGGUGCUACACAUACACUUGAGUGAUGACUGAGCCAAGCCACCUACUGCCUAGCUAUUCAGAGCCAGGACCCUAUUCGUUUCUCCCCAAGUGUCCCAGUUCUGACUACAUGCAGGUUGGAAUGCUCCCAGAUGCAAUCCAC